CAGCCGCCGCGGUAAUACGUAGGGUGCGAGCGUUAAUCGGAAUUACUGGGCGUAAAGCGUGCGUAGGCGGUUCGCUAAGACAGAUGUGAAAUCCCCGGGCUUAACCUGGGAACUGCAUUUGUGACUGGCGGGCUAGAGUAUGGCAGAGGGGGGUAGAAUUCCACGUGUAGCAGUGAAAUGCGUAGGGAUGUGGAGGAAUACCGAUGGCGAAGGCAGCCCCCUGGGCCAAUACUGACGCUCAUGCACGAAAGCGUGGGGAGCAAACAGGAUUAGAUACCCGGGUAGUCCCUGUCUCUUAUAC
rnacentral:rRNA from 1 species